UGUGUGAACUAUAUUAGAAGACUGUUAGUCUCUAGCUCAGCUAUAGCCAUGCCUGGACCCGGACCUGGACCCAGACCCAGACCCACAGACUGACUUUCUAGUUUGACCUUGGCCUCGUUGCCCCAGGCUUGCCUAGUGAUCUCAACUCAUGACUGAACCUUGCUGUAAUCUCUGGGUCUCCUUUUUCACCUUUCUUGGACCCUGGCUGGCAAGGCCACUGCUGGAUGUAGGAUCCCCCUUGGCUCCCCUUCCCUUUGGGAGCAGCCCAUCCUUGCUGCUCCCUGUUUGUUACUACUAGCAUCCUUCAAGGGUUGAUGCCGGAGCCGUUAGUAUUUAACAUCUUUGUAAAUCACCUGGUUGAUGGGACAGAACAAACCAUUAUCACAUUCACAGAUCUGGCUGAAUUGUAAAGAAUGGUUGCUGUGCUGAAGAGCAGGCUUUGCCAUUUAGAGGGAUCUUGAUAGGUGAUCAAGGAGAUAGCAGAAAUGGGCUGACAGGACCCUCGUAAAUUUUGGCAAAAGGAAAAGUGAAGCUUCUGUAUGGAAGAACUGUGUGAAACUGUGCAGGCUGCUUGCCAGCAAGCCAGAAAGCAGCUCCACAGAAAAGGGCUUGGGGUCCUGGUGGGCAACUUGACCGUAAGCCAGCAACGUGUGUUUGUGGCAAAGACCAACCACAUCCUGAGCUGUGUUAAUAAGACCACAGCCGGUAGGCCCAGGGAAGUGAUUCUUCCCCUCUACUUGCCGCUUGUGAGUCUUCAUCUGGAGUACUGUGUCCAGUUUUGGGCUUCCCCAGUACAAGAAAAGUAUUGACAUACUGUCAUGAGUCCAGCAGAAGGCCACCAAGCUGGCCAUGGGGCUGGAGCAUGUGGUGAACAAGGAGUGGCUGACAGCUGGGUCUCUUCAGCCUGGAGAAAAGAAGGCAAGGGGGAGACCUUGUUGCUGUUUUCUACUGCCAGAAGUGUGGAGAGGGAUGGUUACAGGGAAGGUGGAGCCAAGCCCUUCUCAAGGUUCACAGUGAUGGGUUGAGAGGCAACAGACAGAGACAAGAGAUUCCAAUUAGAUAAAAGGACAAGAGUCUUCCCAGUGAGUGUGGUCAAACACUGAGACAUGUGUCCAGAGAGGCUUUGGGAAUCUCCAUCCUUGAAGUUAUUCAAAGCUACCAGGCAAGGCCUUGAGGAACCUGAUCUAACUUCAAAGUUGGCUCUGCUGUGAGCAGGAGGUUGGACUGGCAGACCUUCAGAGGUCCCCUCCAACAUGAAGUAUUCUGUGAUUCUAUAAAGCGGGGAGGAGGAAUGAUGACAGCUUCUACUCCCCAUAAAAGACUUCAGCCUGAAACCUCAAAUAGUCUCCUAAGGAUUGUGGUCCUUCAGUCACAUAGAGAGCAAGUGGGAAACAGAUAUGUUGUUCUCAUCAGCACCAUCUGGUGUAGCGCAUUCUUCAUCUUGUGGCAAGGUCUAAUGGUUCUGCACUGCCUAUUGCCCCCUCAGCAUUAUACCCACAUCCACCUCUGGGCCCAGCUGUGCUGAAUUGCCUCAGGCCUCCUCGCAGCUUUCCAUCACCUGCUCAGCUGCAGAAACCCCUUUUUCUGGGCUUCCAGAUUCUCCUGGUCUCUUGAAAAAGACCCUUUCCUCAAGGCCAGUUGGCCUUGUGUCCUGAUCUUACCAUCUAUCUAUUUAUGUGACUUUAAAUGUCUGGACAGACUGAAUUUGUAUCUGGCUUUCUUGCUAGCCGGUUCCCUAUCGGCCAUAGUAUCCAAGGUUAAAAUUUCCUCUUAAUGUUUUAGUUCUGUGCAGGCCAAAACUUGCCAACUAUCAGCUAAAGGUGCUUGUUACGGUGCCCUGAAUGCUCUACUACAGUCAUUUUACCACAGUCACUCCUUCUCCCUAUUAGUAACCUUUAUCAACAUUACCUAGUAUUUACCAGUUGUUAGCAUAAGCCUGAAUUCAUGGGAGUUAAUAGCACUGUGAAGGCAGCAUGGAAAAUCUCCUGAGCACCUCAGUCUCUCUUCAGCAGUACCCCUUGCUGUGAGACAGUGGGAUGCUACAAAUCUUCAGGAGCUGCUCGCAGCUCUUUUGGCUAGAUGAAAGAUUACUAUGAUUUAGUGCUUGUGGAGUAAGCUAAUAGUAGAGGAAUAUGACAGGAAUCUAAAGAGAAGGGAAAAUGAAACUAAUCCUGCCCCAACUCAAAACAAAUAUUUAGAGUAAUAAUAAAAAAAAAUCCACAAAGUUUCCAGUAAUAAAGGAUGGAGACUGAAUGAAUAAAAUACCAGAAAUAAUAGCACAAUUUGCAAGCCAGAUUGUUCUCUACUUCAUAUCAGACCCUCCAGAUCUUAUGCUGUCAGUGCAAACCAUUGUCCCCUGGUCCUCCUAGCCUCCUUUUCCAGCUGCAGGGUGGGCAUCUCGCACAGCUGUGGCAUCAGGCUGGAGCUUUUCUCCUCACUGGAUGCUCCCUGGCCUGUGAGCAUCCUGAAAGCAGCAGCAAAAAUAAAGCCACGGCUGGUUGGCAGGAGACCUGCAGAUGCCAGCAGAGCAGAAAGGCAAGGGGUCAAAAGCUUGUCAGAAACUAAACUGGAGACCAACUCUGUGGUGAUGACAUAGUAAAAAAAAUUGUUAUGUCACGGCUGCUCCGCUGCUCCUGGGUCAAGCUUCCCGGAAGAGAGGAAUAUAAUAAAGGCAGCUCGUUUUGCAGACACAUCUGCUGAUGAGUUUGUAACCACUAGAUGGAACCCAAACACUUUCCUUUAACUCACUCAUCUGCUAUGGGGAGAUAACACUGAUUUUAGGUAACAGCAUGGUGCAAGUAGUAUCAACAUCAGCACUCAGUAGCACAAGGCUUGUACAGAAAUACAGAGAUAGCUUCAAGGUGUGGGUGUGUAAGUCAUUCAUUUCAGUGAGCACAGACACUGAGUAUUUUAUGUCCAAACCAUGGAAAUGUUAUUGGUUCUUACUGCAUGGCACAAAAAUCCCUGAUGAUUUGGUGAAGAGUGCUGAGGUACAUCCUCCAUGAGACAGAUCACCAGCACAGGAUUUUGCAUCAGGGUUUGUGUACAUCCCGUGAUGUUGCAACCCAGUCAGAGCUUCUGUAAAUACCAAAGAUAGUGUGGGGACAGCAACACCAGCCAAGUUGAGGCUCUGUCCUGCUUCAAGCGUACAGACCUGACAAGGUGUUCGGAUCAGACACAUUUCUGAUGGAGAAUGUAGGAUGGAGAACGUGGAAUAAUCCCCUUUCCCAUGUAUAUCUCAGGGGCUGAAAAAUAAAAUAAUGUCCC